rnacentral:rRNA from 1 species
GAUGAACGCUGGCGGCGUGCCUAAUACAUGCAAGUCGAGCGAACAGAUGAGGAGCUUGCUCCUCUGACGUUAGCGGCGGACGGGUGAGUAACACGUGGAUAACCUACCUAUAAGACUGGGAUAACUUCGGGAAACCGGAGCUAAUACCGGAUAAUAUAUUGAACCGCAUGGUUCAAUAGUGAAAGACGGUUUUGCUGUCACUUAUAGAUGGAUCCGCGCCGCAUUAGCUAGUUGGUAAGGUAACGGCCUACCAAGGCAACGAUGCGUAGCCGACCUGAGAGGGUGAUCGGCCACACUGGAACUGAGACACGGUCCAGACUCCUACGGGAGGCAGCAGUAGGGAAUCUUCCGCAAUGGGCGAAAGCCUGACGGAGCAACGCCGCGUGAGUGAUGAAGGUCUUCGGAUCUGAAAACUCUGUUAUUAGGGAAGAACAAAUGUGUAAGUAACUAUGCACGUCUUGACGGUACCUAAUCAGAAAGCCACGGCUAACUACGUG